UUCUAGUAUGCGGUGGUGUACUAUGUAAAAUGAAUUAUGUCAAACAGCGUUAUAGUGCUUAGUUAAUGUUUAGUUAAAGUAUUUAGAAUUUUGUGGUCGCCACUGUGAAUUUCAAUGUGUUACAAUGAAGAAUUAAUUACAAGCAGGGCGUAGUUGUAAUUGCGACAUGGCAUCCCGCAGAUGGUUUCACCCUAACAUAUCAGGAUUAGAGGCAGAACGUUUAUUAAUGGAACGAGGUUAUGAUAGUUCCUUUCUGGCACGUCCAAGUUCAUCCAAUCCUGGUGAUUUUACAUUAUCUGUAAGACGAAAUGGUGAAGUGACUCAUAUUAAAAUACAAAAUACAGGAGACUUUUAUGACCUUUAUGGAGGUGAAAAAUUUGCUACGUUAUCAGAACUUGUACAAUUUUACAUGGAAAAUGGUGGCCAGCUUCGUAAAAAAAAUGGAGAGAUAAUAGAGUUGAAAUAUCCUUUGAAUUGUGCUGAUCCAACAACUGAAAGGUGGUUCCAUGGCCAUUUAUCAGCAAAGGAAGCAGAAAGAUUGAUGAUGGAAAGGGGAAAAAAUGGAUCUUUUCUAGUUCGUGAAUCGCAGAGCAAACCUGGUGACUUUGUAUUAUCAGUUCGUACUGAUGACCGUGUUACACAUGUUAUGAUACGAUCUCAGGACAAUAAAUAUGAUGUGGGAGGAGGGGAUAAAUUUGACAGUCUUAGUGAUCUUAUAGAACAUUAUAAACGUAAUCCAAUGGUCGAAACAAGUGGAAGUGUUGUUCAUCUCAGACAACCAUUCAAUGCAACUCGUAUAAAUGCUAGUGGAAUUGAAAGCAGAGUUAGACAGUUACAUAAAGAAAACGGGUGUUCUAACGGAUUAUUAUGUCGAAAUGGCGCGACGGAUACUAAUGAAGGCAGUACAGGUCGUGGUAAAGGAAAAGCAGGCUUUUGGGAAGAAUUCGAAUCGUUACAACAACUAGAAUGUCGUCAUUUGUUUUCUAGGAAAGAAGGUUUAAGAUUAGAAAAUCGAGCUAAAAAUCGAUAUAAAAAUAUUUUACCAUUUGAUCACACGAGAGUACGCUUGAAGGAUGUUGAUCCUAAUGUACCUGGAUCAGAUUAUAUCAAUGCUAAUUAUAUCAGGAAUGAAGAAGGCGAUGGAGCUGUACCUGGUAUCAGUGGAAACGACGUUGGCCAGUUUAAUAAAUGUUAUAUUGCUACACAAGGUUGUCUUCCAAAUACCAUUGGAGACUUUUGGCACAUGGUGUAUCAAGAAAACACUCGAGUAAUCGUUAUGACAACGAAAGAAAUGGAAAGAGGAAAAAACAAAUGUGCUCGAUAUUGGCCCGAAGAGGGAGAAAUUGCAGAAUAUGGAGGCACAUGGAAAGUUCAUGCUCUUUCUUGUACUGUAACAGCAGAUUAUACUUUACGUGAAUUUUUAUUACAAGGAAACAAGCCAAACUUCAUGGUUGCCAGAAGAAUAUUCCAUUACCAUUUUCAAGCAUGGCCUGAUCAUGGUGUACCAUCAGAUCCUGGUUGUGUUUUAAACUUUCUUCAUGACGUAAAUGCUAGACAAGAAUUGAUAGCUGCAGCUGUUGCAUCAAAUACUCAAAAUGCACCAAGCAUGGGGCCGAUUCUUGUACAUUGUAGCGCUGGAAUAGGAAGAACUGGAACUUUUAUUGUUAUUGAUAUGAUUUUGGAUCAAAUUAAACGCCAUGGUCUCGAUUGUGAGAUUGAUAUUCAACGAACGAUUCAAAGAGUACGUUCUCAGAGAUCAGGUAUGGUACAGACUGAAGCACAAUAUAAAUUUGUUUAUCUCGCGGUCUUACAUUACAUUGAGACUGUAUCUCAGAGAAUGCAAGCUGAACAGAAAUCACUUCAGUUAGGUCGUGAAUAUACUAAUAUCCGAUUACGACGGUAUUGAAUGUUAAGAUCGUGUAGCGAAUACGACGAGGAAUGAGCCGCGGGAAGCUGCUCAAACCAAUGCUCUCAUCGCAGAAAAGUAAAUGUUUUAAAAAUGUUUCAUCAAUGAAUGGUCUCGACUUAUAACUAGUCGUGAAUUUCAUCAAAACGAGCUUAUUCCUAGUCCAACGUUUAAUAUUUUCUGAAGCUAAGGAAAUAAGUAUAAAAGCUUAUAUUCGUUGAAGAAAAAUAGAAGAAGUCAGCAAAGUAAAGUGUGUGUGUUCUACGAGAAAGAUAAACGAUGAUGGAGGCCAAGUAUACAAUGAUUCACUACAGGAAUUUAACCUUGACAGAGAUUAUAAACGAAAUUAUAAUACGUUUCGUAGAAUUGAAAAGAUCGGAUGGCUUAAAUAUCUGAAUUUAAUUAAAAACCUCCCGAAUAAAUAAUCUUACAGAAAAGGAUCGUCUAUUAUCUGCGAAGAAAAUCUGUAUUCUGGAGUUUUAAUUGUCGUCGUUCCGUGUUUAUUUGUGCUUAAAUUACGAAAGUUUUCUAAUUCGCACUUGGAAUGACCGCCAUUUGUAUCACGCUUUCAUUAAAACAAAAUGUGCGCGAUUUUGUCCAGCAUUGCCAACCUAAUUUUAUCGUUAAUCGAUAAUAAUGUUGGUACGCAUUACUCUUUGUUAUUAUCGAUAAUAUUUCGAUUAUCAGAAGAAACGUAUCGACAAAUGUUUACCUAAAUCGAAAAUAAUUUGGAGAAAUAUUAGUUUAGUAAAUUUCGGCGAAUUAUAGGAGGUUUUAUUACUUGUGUCAUAAUAUUUUCUUUACAAUAAAUUGAUUACCUUGUAGAGUAUAUGUACAUUUAUGUAUGUAUGUAUACUUUAUUUAUUCGAAAUUAUGAUACAAGUAAAAUGUGAUUAUGUGCUUAGUUACAUAAGUACGGACAAUACAUAACAUCCUGUAAAGAAUAAUGCUUCCUAUGGGAAGAAAAUAAUCAGAUUAUUGAAAAUAAGAACUAGGAUUGCAUAAAUAAGACAAAUUUAUCAAGAAAUUACAUAUAUAUAUAUAAUAUUUGAAGCAGCAAACAACUAUUCACCAGUAUCAUAAUGGUUAGUCUAUUAUACAUCUAUUGUUCAUAUUGUACCAUAGUAUAUAUUUUAAAGAUAAAAGUUAUAUAUGGUUUAUGAACUACAGGAUAGCAAUCCUUAUUAAAAAAUUUAAUACUUUCAUUAUAAAAUAUACAAUCUUGAUGCAAUUGUUUUUUUUAUGCUGCUAAUACUCUUAUAUUUAUGUCGUAUACAUAGAUUAUGAGAUAAAUUCAACUUUAUUAAUUGGAAAUUCAUUUGCAAAAAUUUUAUGAAUCUCAAAUUAUAUAAAAUUUUGAAUAUUGAUUUUAUAAAUUAACUGAUAAUUUUAAUAACAUAAUAAAUAAUGUCUUUUAAAAAUAAUAAAUGAAUGAAGACAGGUAUAAGUAUUAAUUUCAUAUAAAAAAAAAAGACAUCUAAAGAUUUUUGUGAGUGGAAAGUUUUACAAAAUCCAAUUACUAUUGCAUAAUAACUAAGACAAAUUUUUACAAUUUUGAUUAUAUUAUUAUUAUAUAGAUAUACUUUUUUUUACUAUGACUGUAUAGUUCUAUAUAGAUAUUUUUUAAUAACAGUUAAGAUUGAUUUUAUCAUUAAAGUUUUUAUUAUGUGCUUUCAAAUCGAAGCAUAAAAGUUUGCCCAAUUGAAUAAUAGCCUGAAUUAGCUUUAUGAGGCAAAAUAUAUAAAGAUGUGAUACAUCAUUUAAAUAUCUUUUAUUGUUUAACAUCUAUGGACUUAUUAAUUAAUAUAAAAUAUCUUAUACGCACAUAUGACAAUGCUGCUUAAAAAUUCUAGCUUUUCUUUUUAAUUUAUUGUACUUGAGUGUAUGUUUGUCAAAAGUUUAAAUAUGUAUACACAUUCUACAGUAAUGAUGUACUUUAUUUAAUAGUUGUCAAAAUAUUAAUAUCUAAAGAAUUCUUGGUACCAUAUAUAAACAUUUGAUAGAUCCUAUCUUAAUAUAAACAUUUAAUAAAAAUUUUAAUAUAAGAAGUAUGUUCUUUUAUAAUUCCAAUGUUAGUAAUUGAUUAUUAUUGAUCUUAAAUCAUAAAUGUAUAAUAACUUUAUAGCUCAAUGAAUACUUGUAAAUUUAAAUCUUUUUAUGGAUUAUAUUAAAAUGUACAUUUAUAUACUUAUUAGUUAUAAUCUUUUUAUUUUUAUUUUUAAUGCAAUAACACGCUUUCUUAUCAUUUUUUAUCAAUGUGUUGUUAUAGUUAUUCAAUGAAUUAAGUUAAAUAUUUACAUUACAAAUUAAAAUCAAUACAUCAUUUUGUAGAAAGUUUGAUAAAUUCUGAUUGUCAAUAUUAUAGUAUGUAGUAUGUAUAUGUCAUUAUAACUAACAUAAAUUUCAUGAUCCUGUAAAUUUGUAUACAAGAGAACAUAUAAUUCGUAAACAAGUUGUUUCUUCACAAAAUAUAUAAAAAAAUUAAAUCACAUAAGAAAAAUUAUCAAAAUAUCAAAUCCUUCUUUUUCAAAUGUCUUAAAAUGUUUCAAAGUAUAUCAGUUAGUAAUAUCAAAAGAAGAUAAUUAAAUAGUUAAAAAAAAAAAAUAAAACUGUAUUGUCCUAAACUCUCUCUAAUUACUGAAGCACAUUUAUUUAAACUGUAGAAUAAAAUAACAAAUGAAUAUAUGAAUGUAAA